rnacentral:rRNA from 1 species
AACGAACGCUGGCGGCAUGCCUAACACAUGCAAGUCGAACGAGACCUUCGGGCCUAGUGGCGCACGGGUGCGUAACGCGUGGGAACCUGCCCUUAGGUUCGGAACAACUCAGAGAAAUUUGAGUUAAUACCGGUUGAGGUCUUCGGACCAAGGAUCUAUGGCCUCUAGAUGGGCCUGAGUUGGAUUCGCCGGUUGGAGGGGUACAGGCCUGCCAAGGCGGCGAUCCUGAGCUGGUGUGUGAGGAUGAUCAGCCACACUGGGACUGAGACACGGCCCAGACGGCAGCGAGAGGCGGGAGUGGGGAAUAAUGGAGAAGGGGCGAGAGGCUGAUCCAGCGAGGGCGGGAGGGUGAUGAAGGCGUUAGGGUUGUAAAGCUCUUUUGACCGAGAGGGUGAUGAGGGUAUCGGGAGAGUAAGAUCCGGCUAAUUCCGU